GCCCGUCGCAAAGCGCCGCAACGUGCGGGGCGCGAGCCGGCCCGGCCGGGCUUUGCGCGGAGCCGUGACGGGAUCGGAGGGCCGCGGGCCGAUGCGGGGCGGGCAGGAUGCAGCAGAAGCUGCUGCGCAGCGCGCACUACAUCGAGCUGGGCGGCUACCAGUACUGGCCCGUGCUGCUGCCGCGCGGCAUCCGCCUGUACACCUACGAGCAGAUCCCCGUCUUCCUGAGGGACAACCCCUACAUCACCGACGGCUACCGCGCCUACCUGCCCUCCCGCCUCUGCCUCCGCAGCCUCUUCAUCCUCUCCAACGAGAGCGUCAACAUCUGGAGCCACCUGCUGGGCUUCCUGCUCUUCUUCACGCUGGGUAUCCGCGACCUGACCGUCGUGCUGCCCGCCGCCCGCGCCGCCCGCGAGGACUUCGUCAUCUGCGCCGUCUGCCUCUUCUGCUUCCAGGUCUGUAUGCUUUGCUCAGUAGGAUAUCAUCUCUUCUGCUGUCAUCGCUCAGAGAAGACCAGCCGACGAUGGAUGGCAUUAGAUUACGCAGGAAUUUCCAUUGGUAUCCUAGGCUGCUACGUAUCAGGCGUGUUUUAUGCAUUUUAUUGUAGUAAAUACUGGCGUCAGGUGUACUUAAUCACUGUGCUGGCAAUGAUCUUGGCAGUAUUUUUUGUUCAGAUUCAUCCCAAUUACCUCACGCAGCAGUGGCGCAGGCUGCGCUCCAUCAUCUUUUGCUCAGUGUCUGGGUAUGGCAUCAUUCCUACUAUCCACUGGGUUUCACUCAACGGCGGCAUUGGUGCAGCUAUUGUACAGGAUGCUGAUUUAGCCUGGUCCAGAGCUACUGCUGAACCUGGAAGAGCAGCACUGAUAAUAAAUGCAGUCUUCAGACAAGGAGUUCGCUCCACGUGUGGUUGUCAUGUAUUUCAUUGCUGCUGUAGCAUUUCUCUUCUAUAUUUCUAAAGUUCCAGAAAGAUACUUUCCAGGACAGCUCAACUACCUCGGCUCUAGUCACCAAAUAUGGCACAUCCUUGCUGUAGUGAUGUUGUACUGGUGGCACCAGUCUGCAGUGUACAUCAUGCAGUACCGACACAGCAAGCCCUGUCCUGAGCAUAGCGUGGACUUGUGAGUGAAGAGGCACUGCAAUGAAACUUCUGACUAUGGGAGUCUGAACCUUACAAAUAUGCAGAAUGAUGAAAGUAAGCACUAAGGCGGUUCCUUUCCAACUUCUGGACUGUUACCCUACUCACUGGGAUGGUGCAUUAACAGGAAUGCUGGGGAAAAAAGCAGCAUUGCCUGGAUCUCAGUACAACAUCUGAACAUUUCUUGAACACCUCCAGGGUCAGUGACUCCACCACCUCCCUGGGCAGCCCAUUCCAGCACCUGACCACUCUCUCAGAGAAGAAGUAUUUCCUAACGUCCAACCUGAAUCUCCCCUGGCACAACUUAAGGCCAUUCUCUCUGCUAUCUGAGAUUCAUGUCCUUCUCAUCAUUUCCUGUUCUGCAAUCAAGUACAAAGCAGGUCUUCCUUAGAGUGGGACAACAAAAAGGUGAGCUGUAAAACUAAGCACUUGGAGCACUGCAUUAUUUUCCUGCUUGGUAAAUACAAACAACAGAAUUGCAUACCAUUGCUAAGCUAGCAGGCCCAUAUGCCGUGUCUUCAGGUUUUGUUUAAACACAGAACAAAAAAACACACUCCCAAUAGUGUGCUUUUAGAACUGUGAUUAACUGAGUGGCUGGUCUUGGAUCUAAACUGCAUUGGUACAGUGUGCUGCAACCUUCAGAAUCAUCGUCUGAGUGAUGUACGUACACUUCAACAUCAAGACAGUAAUGUGUAGCGUCAAAUUCAGUGGAGUAUUGUACUUUUCUAGUUGUUUCCCUUUUUCUGGGAGAUGGAUGUUAUCUACCAUAUCUAUCUUGAUUUCAAACCUUAAAUUGUUUCCUCAAUAUAGAUGGUGCCAUUACUUCAGCGAAUCUCUCUGCAGCACUUUGGUGCUUCUGAAUACGAUAUUCUGAAAUAUUUCAGUAGUCUUACACUGGCUGUUAUCCUGGAAUUAGUAGAGGUGCAAAGAAUUUUUUAAGUUACGUGUUCUUUUAGCAGGCAUAAAUAACAAGCCCAGAGUAGUAAGACUGCUGUGAAUUCAAGUCACUCAACUUUGGCCUUUUAAUGACUUAUGCUGUACUUCCAACACUUCAUUAGUUGAAGUGACUUAUUGCCAUUUGCUUUCUGCAGUAAAAAGACAGCUUUGGGUUUUUACAUUCUGCAGUUAAACCACAUCUUGUAAUGUCAACACUAAGGAGACACACGAGUUAUGCAGGUUGUUAGAUACCUGGUGCUCAGCAUGAAGAAGCUCAGUGGGUGCCAGCCUGGAGGCUGGCAGGGUGCUGUUCGGUCCUACCGAAGCUGCCUCUGUCCAGGGCAAAACAUUCCCAGCUCUCUCAGCCUUCUACACAGAGAACGUGCCAAGGAGAUGUGGCCAAGAGAAUAGCGAUAGACAUUUACUGGCAAGUAUUUACCUCGUACCAGGGAUGGAUGAGGCAGGACCCUUCCUCUUCUACUGGUAUGCUGGAGGGCAAUGCUGUCAGUUGAGCUCAGUGAGGAUUUGGUGUUUUUUCUUCCCAGCUCCAGAAACAGUUACUGGAAAGAACUGAAUUCAGUUGAAGUUCAAAUCCCAGUCUUCUGAGCCUUCCACUAUAAACACUGAUUAUUCUUUUUAAACUUGACAGCAAAGCAAGUUUAAAGUGCACUAAUGACUACUGCUGAAGCCUGACAAGGACCCUGCAAUUGUUAAAGCCUGUUUUCAGUGUUACGUGAACAAUAACAUUUGAAGAACGUGUGACUGUGUACUGAAAACAUACUCAUUUUACAGUUUGCUAAUCUGUUUUUCUUCAAACCAACUACUGUAGCAGUUUUCACUGGAUAAGAAAAGAUUGUUGAGUUGUACAUUUUUAUUAUCCUGACAAUUUAUCAAACUGCAUGAUGGCCUUUUCUGUAAAUACUGAGCCUGUAAAUAAAUUUUGGUUCAUUGGA